UGGGGAAUAUUGGACAAUGGGCGCAAGCCUGACCCAGCCAUGCCGCGUGAGUGAUGAAGGCCCUAGGGUUGUAAAGCUCUUUCGCCAGGGACGAUAAUGACGGUACCUGGAUAAGAAGCCCCGGCUAACUUCGUGCCAGCAGCCGCGGUAAUACGAAGGGGGCUAGCGUUGUUCGGAAUCACUAGGCGUAAAGCGCACGUAGGCGGAUCUUUAAGUCAGGGGUGAAAUCCCGAGGCUCGACCUCGGAACUGCCUUUGAUACUGGAGGUCUCGAGUCCGGGAGAGGUGAGUGGAACUGCGAGUGUAGAGGUGAAAUUCGUAGAUAUUCGCAAGAACACCAGUGGCGAAGGCGGCUCACUGGCCCGGUACUGACGCUGAGGUGCGAAACGCGUGGGGAGCAAACAGGAUUAGAUACCCUGGUAGUCCACGCCGUAAACUAUGGAUGCUAGCCGUUGGGCAGCUUGCUGUUCAGUGGCGCAGCUAACGCUUUAAGCACCCGCCUGGGGGAGUACGGUCGCAAGAUUAAAACUCAAAUGAAUUGACGGGGUC
rnacentral:rRNA from 1 species